rnacentral:rRNA from 1 species
GAUGAACGCUGGCGGCGUGCCUAAUACAUGCAAGUCGAGCGGACGGACGAGAAGCUUGCUUUUCUGAUGUUAGCGGCGGACGGGUGAGUAACACGUGGAUACCCUACCUAUAAGACUGGGAUCACUUCGGGACACCGGAGCUAAUACCGGAUAAUCUUUUGCACCGCAUGGUUCAAAAGUGAAAGACGGUCUUGCUGUCACUUCUAGCUGGAUCCGCGCUGCAUUAGCUAGUUGGUAAGGUAACGGGUUACCAAGGCAACGAUGCAUAGCCGACCGCAGAGGGUGAUCGGCGGCACUGGAACGGAGACAGGGACCAGACUCCUACGGGAGGCAGCAGUAUGGAAUCGGCCGCAAUAGGCGGAAGCAUGACGGAACAACGCCGCGUGAGUGAUGGAGGUCUUCGGAUCGUAAAGCUCUGUUAUGAGGUAAGAACAGAUGUGGAAGUAAAUGUGCACAUCGUGACGGUACCGAAUCAGAAAGCCACGGCUAACUACGUG